GAUGAACGCUGGCGGCGUGCCUAAUACAUGCAAGUCGAGCGAACAGACGAGGAGCUUGCUCCUCUGACGUUAGCGGCGGACGGGUGAGUAACACGUGGAUAACCUACCUAUAAGACUGGGAUAACUUCGGGAAACCGGAGCUAAUACCGGAUAAUAUAUUGAACCGCAUGGUUCAAUAGUGAAAGACGGUUUUGCUGUCACUUAUAGAUGGAUCCGCGCCGUAUUAGCUAGUUGGUAAGGUAACGGCUUACCAAGGCAACGAUGCGUAGCCGACCUGAGAGUGUGAUCGGCCACACGGGAACUGGAACCCGCUCCAGACUCCUACGGGAGGCAGCAGUAGGGAUUCUUCCGAAAUGGGCGAAAGCCUGACGGAGCAACGCCGCGUGAGUGAUGAAGGUCUUCGGUUCGUAAAACUCUGUUAUUAGGGAAGAACAAAUGUGUAAGUAACUAUGCACGUCUUGACGGUACCUAAUCAGAAAGCCACGGCUAACUACGUG
rnacentral:rRNA from 1 species